rnacentral:rRNA from 1 species
CCUACGGGAUGCAGCAGUGGGGAAUAUUGGACAAUGGGCGAAAGCCUGAUCCAGCCAUGCCGCGUGUGUGAAGAAGGCCUUCGGGUUGUAAAGCACUUUCAGUGGGGAAGAAAGCCUUGGGGCUAAUACCCUCGAGGAAGGACAUCACCCACAGAAGAAGCACCGGCUAACUCCGUGCCAGCAGCCGCGGUAAUACGGAGGGUGCGAGCGUUAAUCGGAAUUACUGGGCGUAAAGCGCGCGUAGGCGGUCUGAUAAGCCGGUUGUGAAAGCCCCGGGCUCAACCUGGGAACGGCAUCCGGAACUGUCAGGCUAGGGUGCAGGAGAGGAAGGUAGAAUUCCCGGUGUAGCGGUGAAAUGCGUAGAGAUCGGGAGGAAUACCAGUGGCGAAGGCGGCCUUCUGGACUGACACUGACGCUGAGGUGCGAAAGCGUGGGUAGCAAACAGGAUUAGAUACCCGAGUAGUC